GGCGGAGUGGUGGAGGAGAUGACGUGGAGCACCGUGUGGCUGCCUUUUUGGGACGUUGAGUUUGUUGGAAGAAACUAUAACUUGUUGUUCAGUGAUGUUGCUUGGGACGAUGAUAUUUGGAACCUCAAGAACCUAACUCAUUCCUCAUAGUCGUUUUCCUUGGAAAAAAUAUCCAGUUAUAGUUUAUUCUGUAUAAUUUUCGUUAAUUAUUGUCUAUCGAUGGGGUUGGUUUGAAAGUAAUUAUCUUUAGAUUUAAGAAUUAGUCCGUUUUUAAAACUGUGUUCAUACCUUAAUAAUGGUGCACUAUUAAUUAAAUUGUUUAUUGCAUAUAUAUUUACAUGCCGUCCUUAGACUUGUUUCAAGAUAAUGCCUCCCAUAAAGAUAAGUAUGUCCUUAUUUUCUUUGUUGGAAACUAUUUUUGUGACAAAAACUUAAAAAUGACUAUCUUAGGACAUUUUUCUAAAAAUAUUCAUUAGAAAUGAAUAUAUUAUAUACUAAUUUUUAUAAUAAAUUUAAAUUGCAUGUUCAUACUGCUCUACCAAUUAUUCAAUUAAACAGUUUAGCAAAAACAUAUAAUUUCUGCACCAUAUUGCUUAUGUAGCAUGCUGCUAUUGUUUUAUUACUCGCUCAGUCAAUCAAAAGGCCUUAGUGUUUUUAUACUGAAAGAUAAAAUACACAGAUUAUGGUAAACUUGGAAAAGGCUAUACUUGAAUUUAAUUAGUUUUCGAACUCUCAGCUCUGUUCUCUCGUUCAUAUCCGACACAGAGGAGAGAGAAAGCUAUGGGUUUGGUUCGCCGGAUUUUCUCCGGUAAAGUUGUUUCCCGGUCAUCGGGCUCUGUCUCUGGGAAGAAGAAGCUUCUCCAAUUCUUCUUCGCCGGCUUUUGUUUUUCCGAGAUAUGGUUGUUUUUCGCUUUCUCCAGCUUACUUCGAUUAUGUCCGAUCAAGACCUUCUGUACUUCUUUGGCUCAAUUGACUCUUGAAUCUCGCAGCUGUGAUUCGAUUGAUGUCGAUUUGAUACCCUUGGUCCCAAGUGGUGAAGAAGGAUGUGUUGGUUGCGGUUCUUCGAUUAGCGGUGGUUUCGAUGGCUCUAUAGGAGAUCUCGAGUUAGUCUCGAUGUACCUCUCCGUUGAAGAGUCCAAGCCCUUUUCGUUUGGGCUUUUAUUUUGUUGUUGGGUCCGUUUGGGCUUAGUCCCUUAAUAAAUUAUUAGAUGGAAAAAAAAAAAAAAAAACUUGGAAAAGGCUGUCGACCAAAAUAAAGAAAAUGAAAUCAAUGUUGUUCAGUGCCGGUUUUACAGAUCCCGAUCACGUGACGUAGAAAUAUAUUCUAGAAGUGAGGGAGAAUCAUACUUGGACAAGUCUUGAUAUGAUACAGAUACAGAAGUCUUGAUUUUGUGUUUUAAAAAAAAAAACUGUUUGCCGACUAGAAUUUAGCUUAACAAGCAAUUAAAUAUGCAACUACGAGAAGAGAUGGAGUGAGAAGUAGGCAACAUUGUGAUGACGUGGCUGUAUUUCAACCGAACAGAAAACGCCGUCGACAUUGAUUGCAUUCGAAAACAAUCAUAUCGCAUUGUUUGUUUCUCAGAACUAGUGCAGUGAUCUAGGCACUAUGUAAGGAUUUCACGUUAUAAAAUCUAGAAAUUACAUGAAAAGAAUCUAAAUCCAAAAAGUUAACAUAAACCUUCAAUUUUAUUUGAUCGGCCAACCAGAUUUCACAGAUUAAUUUAAUUUUUAUUAGCCUUUUGACUUCGUUAGUUACUGCUGCCAGCCGAUCUUUUCAGUCCUAUUUUUUCUCAUUUGUUUCAUUAGCUCUCUAAUAAUUAAAUUGUAAGGUUUCGACUAAAUUAACUUCGUGAAAAAUAACAUCAAUAAAGAUUAUCGGCAUGUUUUGAACAAUCUAAGCGAAUGUUUCUUAUUUUUCAAAGAAGGAAAACCAAUUCCUUUAAUAUAAGCUCAUUCAACAUUACUCUUCUGUUCGCCUAAUUUUUGGGUUAGGCAUUAUCUAUUUUAAGAUCAUCCCCGACCGAUAUUUAUUUUUAUUUUCAUAUAUUUUUUCUAAAAUAAAAAAAAUUCUAUUAUAGAGUUGGAUUUGCUCUUUCUACAAUAAUUUUUUCUAUUUUUUUUUUAAAAUAUAAAAAACUUUUAUUUCCAUCUCUAAAUAUAAAGAUAAAAAGUAAGAUUUUUUAUAUUUUUUUCUAAAAUAUAGAAACACUAUUAUAGAUACACAAACAUUGAAAGUAUAUUCACUUUUAUAAUCAAGAUCUUUAUUUGAAAGAAAAUAUAAAAAUGUACAUUGAAGAUGCUCUAACAAGAUAAUACUUCGUUUGGAACUAAUGGAUUUUUCUUGAUGAGGAUUUUGUUGGUAUUCACUCCGCUUUCUGUGACAUGCUAAAUAACAAGAUCUCACAGUGCUUUGGUUAUCUAUUAACAGUAUAUAUACCGUUAUCGAUGAAGACAUGAUGACGUUAGCCAAGUCAAGAAACAGUAUAUAUACCGUUUAUUUUUAUACAAAUUAAGAAUCAUUUAUUUUUACUGUAUACGUUGAUAAAUUUAUUUCAUAAAAUGAUAAAUUAUUAUUUUAAUUAUUUUUGACACUUCAGUUUUGCGUAUAUUUUAUUUUAAUAUUUAUACUUUAAAAAAAAUAGAAUAUACUACUAACCAUUUCCAGUUGAUGCAUGUACUUUUGAUAAAAAGAACUAUAGCGAUUGUGGUGAUUCGGAUUAUUUUUUGUAACAUUUUUACAUCUUAAAAAAAAUUUACAUCUUUUCAAAUUUAUAUGUAUAAACCAUUUGGCAUCUUUUAAUUAAAAAAAAAACAUUUGACAGCUUUAGAUAUUUUAGUUUAAACUUCAAUCUUUAACUCCGCAUAUUAAAUUUGGCGGGCGGAGGAAAAAUACAAAAGAGUAGGACACGUAGGGAAAAGUGAGCAGACAUAUGUGUGAGUGUGACGUUAGGCAACUGAGUUACAUGAAAAUCCAAUGUCGGCAAAACAAUUCAAAAAAACAACUCGUCACGUCUCUCUAUAUCUCCAACUCCCAUAUGUCUCCUUGCACUAACCACUUCUUCUGCUUCUAUCUCCUUAUAAAUACCCUCCUGACUUCACUCUUUAACAAUCAUCAUCACCACCAACACUUCAAAGUAUGAAGAGACAGAGAGAGGAGAUGAAGGAAGAGGGGACUGACUCAUCAUUGGCUACUGCAGCCAUGGCAGUUGCGGUUGCUGCAGCGGUAGCGGAGGAGGAUAAAUUGUGGUGCGGCGGAGUGGUGGAGGAGAUGACGUGGAGCACCGUGUGGCUGCCUUUUUGGGACGUUGAGUUUGUUGGAAGAAACUAUAACUUGUUGUUCAGUGAUGUUGCUUGGGACGAUGAUAUUUGGAACCUCAAGAACCUAACUCAUUCCUCAUAGUCGUUUUCCUUGGAAAAAAUAUCCAGUUAUAGUUUAUUCUGUAUAAUUUUCGUUAAUUAUUGUCUAUCGAUGGGGUUGGUUUGAAAGUAAUUA
rnacentral:lncRNA from 1 species